rnacentral:rRNA from 1 species
UACGUAGGUGGCAAGCGUUGUCCGGAUUUACUGGGCGUAAAGGGCGCGUAGGCGGCCUUCUAAGUCAGACGUGAAAUCCCCCGGCUUAACCUGGGAACUGCGUCUGAUACUGGGAGGCUUGAGUAUGGGAGAGGGAUGUAGAAUUCCAGGUGUAGCGGUGAAAUGCGUAGAUAUCUGGAGGAAUACCGGUGGCGAAGGCGGCAUCCUGGACCAUAACUGACGCUGAGGCGCGAAAGCUAGGGGAGCAAACGGG